AGCUUGCUCCUGAAUUCAGCGGCGGACGGGUGAGUAAUGCCUAGGAAUCUGCCUGGUAGUGGGGGACAACGUUUCGAAAGGAACGCUAAUACCGCAUACGUCCUACGGGAGAAAGCAGGGGACCUUCGGGCCUUGCGCUAUCAGAUGAGCCUAGGUCGGAUUAGCUAGUUGGUGAGGUAAUGGCUCACCAAGGCGACGAUCCGUAACUGGUCUGAGAGGAUGAUCAGUCACACUGGAACUGAGACACGGUCCAGACUCCUACGGGAGGCAGCAGUGGGGAAUAUUGGACAAUGGGCGAAAGCCUGAUCCAGCCAUGCCGCGUGUGUGAAGAAGGUCUUCGGAUUGUAAAGCACUUUAAGUUGGGAGGAAGGGCAGUAAAUUAAUACUUUGCUGUUUUGACGUUACCGACAGAAUAAGCACCGGCUAACUCUGUGCCAGCAGCCGCGGUAAU
rnacentral:rRNA from 1 species